CCUACGGGUGGCAGCAGUGAGGAAUAGUGGUCAAUGGACGGAAGGCUGAACCAGCCAAGAAGCGUGAAGGACGAAGGUGCCAAGGAUUGUAAACUUCUUUUGUCAAGGGACAAAAUCAGGCUCGAGAGCCUGACCGAGGGUACUUGAUGAAAAAGCAUCGGCUAACUCCGUGCCAGCAGCCGCGGUAAUACGGAGGACGCGAGCGUUAUCCGGAUUUAUUGGGUUGAAAGGGUGCGUAGGCGGGCGGUUAAGUCAGCGGUAAAAGCCCGGGGCUCAACCCCGGCGUGCCGUUGAAACUGGCUGUCUUGUGCUUUCGAGAGGUAUGCGGAAUGCGCGGUGUAGCGGUGAAAUGCUUAGAUAUUGCGCAGAACUCCGAUUGCGAAGGCAGCAUACCGGCGGCGAUCUGACGCUGAGGCACGAACGCGUGGGUAUCGAACAGGAUUAGCUACCCGAGUAGUC
rnacentral:rRNA from 1 species